rnacentral:rRNA from 1 species
CUCCUACGGGAGGCAGCAGUAGGGAAUCUUCCACAAUGGGCGAAAGCCUGAUGGAGCAACGCCGCGUGAGUGAUGAAGGCCUUCGGGUUGUAAAACUCUGUCAUUCGGGACGAACCGGAGUCUGAGGAAAUGCAGACUCUCUGACGGUACCGGAGGAGGAAGCCCCGGCUAACUACGUGCCAGCAGCCGCGGUAAUACGUAGGGGGCAAGCGUUGUCCGGAUUCACUGGGCGUAAAGCGCGCGCAGGCGGUGAUGUAAGUCUGAGGUGAAAACCCGAAGCUCAACUUCGGGACUGCCUUGGAUACUGCGUCACUUGAGGAUAGGAGAGGCAAGGGGAAUUCCACGUGUAGCGGUGAAAUGCGUAGAGAUGUGGAGGAACACCUGUGGCGAAGGCGCCUUGCUGGCCUAUUUCUGACGCUGAGGCGCGAAAGCGUGGGGAGCAAACAGGAUUAGAUACCCUGGUAGUCCACGCUGUAAACGAUGAGUGCUAGGUGUAGGUGGGCUCAUACCCAUCUGUGCCGAAGCUAACGCAUUAAGCACUCCGCCUGGGGAGUACGGUCGCAAGACUGAAACUCAAAGGAAUUGACGGGGGCCCGCACAAGCAGUGGAGCAUGUGGUUUAAUUCGAAGCAACGCGAAGAACCUUACCAGGACUUGACAUCCCAUAGACCAGUCUAGAGAUAGACUUUCCCUUCGGGGCUGUGGUGACAGGUGGUGCAUGGUUGUCGUCAGCUCGUGUCGUGAGAUGUUGGGUUAAGUCCCGCAACGAGCGCAACCCUUACUUUGUGUUGCCAGCAUUCAGUUGGGCACUCACAAGGGACUGCCGCCGAUAAGGCGGAGGAAGGUGGGGAUGACGUCAAAUCAUCAUGCCCCUUAUGUCCUGGGCUACACACGUGCUACAAUGGGCGGUACAACGGGAUGCGAAGCCGCGAGGUGGAGCCAAACCCUGAAAACCGUUCGUAGUUCGGAUUGUAGGCUGCAACUCGCCUACAUGAAGCCGGAAUUGCUAGUAAUCGCGGAUCAGCAUGCCGCGGUGAAUCCGUUCCCGGGCCUUGUACACACCGCCCGU